GACGAACGCUGGUGGCGUGCUUAACACAUGCAAGUCGAACGGAAAGGCCCUGCUUGCAGGGUACUCGAGUGGCGAACGGGUGAGUAACACGUGGGUGAUCUGCCCUGCACUUCGGGAUAAGCCUGGGAAACUGGGUCUAAUACCGGAUAGGAGCCAUUUUUAGUGUGAUGGUUGGAAAGUUUUUUCGGUGUAGGAUGAGCUCGCGGCCUAUCAGCUUGUUGGUGGGGUAAUGGCCUACCAAGGCGGCGACGGGUAGCCGGCCUGAGAGGGUGGACGGCCACAUUGGGACUGAGAUACGGCCCAGACUCCUACGGGAGGCAGCAGUGGGGAAUAUUGCACAAUGGGCGCAAGCCUGAUGCAGCGACGCCGCGUGGGGGAUGACGGCCUUCGGGUUGUAAACUCCUUUCGCUAGGGACGAAGCUUUUUGUGACGGUACCUAGAUAAGAAGCACCGGCUAACUACGU
rnacentral:rRNA from 1 species